UUCCCGUAGGGGUGAACCUGCGGAGGGAUCAUUACACAAAUAUGAAGGCGGGCUGGAAUCUCUCGGGGUUACAGCCUUGCUGAAUUAUUCACCCUUGUCUUUUGCGUACUUCUUGUUUCCUUGGUGGGUUCGCCCACCACUAGGACAAACAUAAACCUUUUGUAAUUGCAAUCAGCGUCAGUAACAAAUUAAUAAUUACAACUUUCAACAACGGAUCUCUUGGUUCUGGCAUCGAUGAAGAACGCAGCGAAAUGCGAUAAGUAGUGUGAAUUGCAGAAUUCAGUGAAUCAUCGAAUCUUUGAACGCACAUUGCGCCCUUUGGUAUUCCAAAGGGCAUGCCUGUUCGAGCGUCAUUUGUACCCUCAAGCUUUGCUUGGUGUUGGGCGUCUUGUCUCUAGCUUUGCUGGAGACUCGCCUUAAAGUAAUUGGCAGCCGGCCUACUGGUUUCGGAGCGCAGCACAAGUCGCACUCUCUAUCAGCAAAGGUCUAGCAUCCAUUAAGCCUUUUUUCAACUUUUGACCUCGGAUCAGGUAGGGAUACCCGCUGAACUUAAGCAUAUCAAUAAAACGGAGGA
rnacentral:rRNA from 1 species